UGUAGCUCAGUGGUGGAGCACUUGCCUAGUAUGCAUGAGGCACUGGGGUUUAUUCCCAGCA
rnacentral:tRNA from 1 species